UACAUGUGUGCACAUCAACACUGCAAGUGACAUUUGUUUAAGAGAAUAUAAGAAACAAUGGGAUUCUAAAGGAACUUGACAAUUUUUGGUUAUUUCUGCUGAAGUCAUGACAACGACUGGGCAACUUGAUCAUCCGUCCCCUACACCCGGGGUAUCGCCUGAGAGCGCGGAAGACGGCGGAGUGCGCAUUGUCCUGAUCGUGUUGUGGGUGGCGGGCGGCGUGCUGCUUUUGUCGCUCUGUGCUCUCCUUGUGUGCAUUAUCAGAAGCCACAUAAAAGAACAGAGAAGCACUGGUAUGCGUGCUGGUACAAGUGGCCUGGCGGCUCCGCAGCAAGGCAGCGUCAACCCGACCUUCUCAAACUACGACGAGAUAUGGACGUGGAUCCCUAUAGUUACCGAGCACUCGGGAAACUGUCAGUCUCAGAUAAACCCGGGUCAGAGAAACAUAGACAUGACCCGGCGCAAUACAGAGUUGGUCAAUAAUCUCAGACUGCCCACGUACAGUGAAGCAGUAAACGGGAAUGGUAACGUGAAUAGACCACUCGUGUCCCAGGUACGUAUGACGUCACACAUAACGUCAGGACAGCAAACUAGCAGAAGUGGGGCUGCGGGUCAUCAGCAUUUGCCUAGCUUUGUGCCUUCAACUGGUACAAGUAAUAAUAAUCGGGAUGUCCCUGUCAGGCAUGGAGAGACCUGUGUUAACAUUCCCAUCCAAGGCACGUCAACCAGCGCCACGUCUGGUCCAUCAACUUCCCAGGUUAUCUUCCGGCCCACAAACACUUCCACUUCUCGGAACAACACAACACCAGAUGACAUUCCUGUGUCCAGGUCAUCAUUACAUGCUCACGUGACAAACAUAUCUGUGACGCCAUCUAGCGUUUCCGCUCUUCAGCAGGCACGUGCGCUAGUGGAAGGCGCUGGGAGCCGGGAACCUUAUAAGCCUCUACCGUCUGCACCCAGCCUCCAGCAGACCGAGCCUGAAAAUAGUCGCGUGUCAUCUAGUGCUAGACCUCGCAAUCAGCUGACCUCAUACAUUGCUCAAAGAACACAUUCACCGCGCGACAGUCAAACGGCGAAUAACUGUGUCACUGAUGUGCAUCACGCUGAAAGACGUCAACCUGGCGUAUGCAUUCAAAAUGGGCCGAAUGAAAACAGGGAGUCUCCGGUGUAUUCCGGACAUCUCCGGCAAGACUCGUACAUCAUGUAUCCUCAUCAUCGCAGGACACAGAACUCCGCCGGUUUUCGCCACAGUUCCGGAAGUGUGUUUAACUACUUUUGCAGCAACGGCAGCCGGUUUACGGUACAAGACAUUACGGACGGAGUGCAUCCGUCGCCUUACACAUUACCGGAAAUGACAUCAACUCUUGUGCCAUCAUCAGGGAGCUUGCGAUCAAGUAUGGAGACGCAGUAUUUUUAGAAGGAGGAUGCGGGCGUAAGCAUGAACCUAGCCGGAGCCGCCGGAUGUAGAUAUCCUGAGUCACAUCCGGCACAAACGAGUACUGUGUGAGGUUUGCAACCGGAAGUUGCUAUUCAUGGAAUGCAGCCACUGCCAGCAUAAUUUACGUUUCCCAGUGCCAACCAUGUGUACGUUGCCAGUGCAAGAAUUGUUUACGUUUCCAAGUGCCAACAAUAUGUACGUUGCCAGUGCAAGAAUUAUUUAUGUUUCCUAGUGCCAACAAUAUGUACGUUUCCCAGUGCCAACAAUAUGUACGUUGCCAGUGCAAGAAUUGUUUACGUUUUCAAGUGCCAACAAUAUGUACGUUGCCAGUGCAAGAAUUAUUUAUUUUUCCUAGUGCCAACAAUAUGUACGUUUCCCAGUGCCAACAAUAUAUAUGUUGCCAGUGCAAGAAUUGUUUACAUUUCCAAGUGCCAACAAUAUGUACGUUGCCAGUGCAAGAAUUGUUUACGUUUUCAAGUGCCAACAAUAUGUACGUUGCCAGUGCAAGAAUUAUUUAUGUUUCCUAGUGCCAACAAUAUGUACGUUUCCCAGUGCCAACAAUAUGUAUGUUGCCAGUGCAAGAAUUGUUUACGUUUCCAAGUGCCAACAAUAUGUACGUUGCCAGUGCAAGAAUUGUUUACGUUUCCAAGUGCCAACAAUAUGUACGUUGCCAGUGCAAGAAUUGUUUACGUUUCCAAGUGCCAACAAUAUGUAUGUUGCCAAUGCAAGAAUUAUUUACGUUUCCUAGUGCAAACAAUAUUUACGUUGCCAGUGCAAGAAUUAUUUACGUUUCCAAGUGCCAACAAUAUGUACGUUUCCCAGUGCAAGAAAUAUUUACGUUUACCAGUGCCAACAAUAUGUACGUUUCCCAGUGCAAGAAAUAUUUACGUUUACCAGUGCCAACAAUGUGUACGUUUAUACCUUCAAAUUUUAAAAAUAAAUUGCCAACAAAUUCCGAUCAUAACAUCAUUUAUAUAAAAAAAAUGGUUCAUUUCCAUAUUCAUAUAAAAAUGCGUCUGUAUUAUUUUGUGCCAAACAUUGCAAUACGUGUAUUUCAUUUAAUUGUUUAUUGAUAUUGUCAUUGAAAUCAAAAUAACGGUCAAGUUAUGUCAUUACUUUCUAUUGUUAGUAUAAAUAAUUAUGUAUGUUGAUGAUAUAUUUGUGUUUAUUAUGAAUGAAUGUUGUUGACUUAUUUGGGUGUAUUAUGAAUAUAUGUUGUUUAUACAUUUGCGUGUAUUAUGAAUUGGUUUGUGUUUAUAUACAUUACUUGGGUGUUUCAUGACUAUAAUUAUGGGAUUGAUAUAAUAUAAUGUUUCUACCUUAACUUGUUUGCUGCUGUCUUCCUAUUAUUUUAAAACACAUGAUGUUUGACGAUCUUUUAUGAUCUAGAAUUGUAUUUAUACCCCAAGUGCCAAAUCGCAUGUGUUCAUAUAAAAGUAUUACCAUUUCAAAUGUAUUAUGUGUAUUAAAAUACAUGUGUGUA